rnacentral:rRNA from 1 species
UACGUAGGGUGCGAGCGUUGUCCGGAAUUAUUGGGCGUAAAGAGCUCGUAGGCGGCUUGUUGCGUCGACUGUGAAAGCCCGUGGCUUAACCGCGUGGUCUGCAGUCGAUACGGGCAGGCUAGAGUUCGGUAGGGGGAGACUGGAAUUCCUGGUGUAGCGGUGAAAUGACGCAGAUAUCAGGAGGAACACCGGUGGCGAAGGCGGGGUCUCUGGGCCGAUACUGACGCUGAGGUGCGAAAGCGUGGGGGAGCAAACAGG